CUGCUGGCAGUCUCGUCAUCAGUGCUGCUGUUAUCUUUAUUGCUCCUGUGUUGGACUAUUUUGGGGGCAGGGCCUCAGUGACAGCUGUGGGCCACAUUUAACCUGCCGGCUGAAAGGUCUUACAAAGUGCCCUUCGCGUUCCAGCUCCUGCGGACGGCUCCAGCCGGGCACGAGCAGCAGCAGGGCUCCCCAUGUCAGCCCAGGUCGGGGUCCUGACCACGUGGCCUUUGAUGGCAGCGAGCAGCAGGGCCUGAAAGCAGCCAAGAACCACCCAUGGGCUGUGCUGGGCAAGACCAGACAUGCCCGGCCCCAGCCCUCACUUCGGGCCCUUGAGGAAAUCCUACUCGCGUGGAGGCGGUGGGCCCGGACCACGGAUGGAUGCAGGCCAGCAGCAGAUCGCCAGGAUGUGCUCCACAGGGAAGGUGUGAGCACAAGACACUCCUCUCCAUGUCAUGUGGAAAUGGUGCCGACAAGCAACACACACGACACCCUGACUCAAAAGGGAUGGGAAUGUUGCCCUAAAUUCCUGAUGUUGUCCUCUUUUUCCUUUUGGAGACUAAGAGGCACGAUUCCUCAGGUUCCUCCCAGGCUUCAAGCCUGGCCCAGAGAGUCUUACUGUAAUUUCUCAGACGUCUUGCUUCAGGAGGGUGUUGGUGACGAAGGAACGUGAUCUGUCUGCGUGAAGGAAAAAAAGAAGCCAGCUUCAACCAUGGACUGCUACCAACAUGAUCAGGGCAAAGUGAAUGGUUCUUCAGGGAUCUGAAAACCACGCACAGUAGGGACACUGAGGUACGACCUUUCCGGCCGGCCGAGUCCUUGCCACUUGGCUCAGCAGAGGUGGGACCACAGGAGGGCAUGUCGAGGAGCUUGCCUGUCUCCCCACCUCUUUACUCUUUCUGGCCUGGGGUGGAUGAGAAAAGAGCUUUCUUCUUCCUGCACCUGCAUCAGAGAAUCAGCCUCCAGCCCCCUCGCCCCAGAGGACACACAGGGCUCAUGGACGCUCUCAGCCCCCAACCUCUCACUGUUCCUCCCCUGCCUUCUGCCUCACACAAGCAACUCCAAGGGGCCGGGGAAGGUUCCGCCACUCCAGGACAUGGGGUCUCCGCAUGUCACCCGUCUGAGGGAGGAUUUCGGGGCAAGGGCCCACCCACUUCUCAGUAGUUUGCAUCCAGGCCAUCCGCUCCAUCCAUGCUCCACCCCUGGGCAGGCUGCCCACAAGUGAUGCCCGGCUCCUGGCGCUCAGCGCUGGGCCCAGGGGUCUGCCCAUCCCACCCACUUCCCAUCACUCAGAGCUGCCCACUAGGUGCUGCUCCCACUCUCUCUCCAGGGGAAGGUCUCCUCAGGGCCUGAUCCCAGGGCGAGGGUGCGGGAGGGCAGGCCUGCGCUUACAGGAAGAGCUCCAGGAUGAGAGGUGACCUCGGCCUGCUCCCCGUUGUCACAGACCAGAACUGAAGGCCAGACCUGCUGGGGUCCAGCCCUUGGGACGUCCUCACUCCCAGGGAGCUCAACCCAGACACAUUGCCGUCCGCCACGCUUCACUGGCCGUCUGCUCAGAGCGUGGCCAUCCUGGGAUCGCAGAAGGAGCACAAAUCGAUCCAGGACCUUCUCUCUGUGUCUGAGGAACAGAUGAGGCUGGUGGGAACCAGACAGACGCCUCUUGCCUACCGCGUACCAGGUCCCCCAACACUUCGGCUUUUUAGCUGAUUUCUCCAGGGACAGGGCGCUAAGAACACAGGGGCACGGAUCAUCCCUCUACUCGCCCUGGUCACGAGGCAGAGCCGGGGCCCAGCGAGGCUGCGUCCUGGAUCGUCUCAGGCGCUGGUUUGCUGUGGGAUGAAAGGCUGGCUCUGAACUCGGGUGGAGAGUGAGGGGCCUGGGAGGGCACAUGCUCCACGGGCCGGGAGGCUGGGGCACCGCCUGCCCCAUGGCAGCUUAGUGGGGGACGGUCGCCUGCACCUUACAGAGAGGGGAUGUAGCAGCAGUACCCUUGCAGUUCUUCCCAUCAAGGGGCCCACUGCCGAGUCCCGGGGAGCAGGUCCCAGUGAAAACAUCCCCGGCUCCCUUGCUAGACCUUUCUGUGGCCUGGAACCUGGGCAAAUAUUUUGGUGCCAUUUUCCUAAAGCUGAGAUGUUUUUGGGGGCAAAAAGGAGAUCCUUUCAAGGGAGUUCCCAUAAGAAUGCUCAGGCUGCUUUAGAGAAACAGGUUUGGGAGCCCGGAGAAGCCACUCCUUCCUGGCCGCAGGACCCUUCAGGCUCCCAGGUGGGUCAGGGGAGGAGAGAAGGAUGCCUUGGACCUCACGCUGGGGAGCCUUCCCUUCUCCUCCUGAGGCACUAGUGUUGGGAGGUGGCCCAGCUUUCUCCGGGAAGAGUCGGAGCCCAGAAAGGAUGCCCCCCCAUGGGGCUGAGAAGAUUGCAAGGUGGGAGCCUCUUCUCUCAGAGCCUUUGAGGUGGGAGGUUAUGGCAGCGAGGGUCAUCACACUCACACACUCAUGCACACACACGUGCUCACACCCAGCAGCACACACUCAUACCCAUGCACCUGUCUCACUCACAUUCACCCUCACACAGAUGCAUGCUCACACAUUUGCACACUCAGGCACAGUCACAGGCUCUUACACACACACUCCCCCUUCAUCCUCCCUAUGGUCUUUGUCAACCUUUGGUGACGACGCUGUCAGAGCUGGAUGGAAAACUGCUGCUUCCACGUGGGAUGCCUCCGUGGAUGGCCCCUUGCCGGCUUGCUCCUGACGACGUGGAGGGCUGGCUCUUUCCAGAACACACUCAGCCAGCCCUGGGCAGGCCCAGGGUCACCAGGGGCAGGGUCCUGCUGCUGGUUCAGAAGGGAGAGCCUGCAGGUCAGCGGCGUGGAUGUGAGGCUGGGAGCUCUGGCGCUUGCGGUAAGCAUGGCCAGGCCUUGGUGGAGUGGAGCACAGAUCAGAGGGUCCACAGCGUGUCCUGCGAGGGAACAGCCCUGGGGGCCCGCCAAGGCCCACACUGGGCACCUCCACCCGGCCUUUCGGAUGGCAGGGCCCUGGGGCUCCAGCAGUGUCUGGCCUGGGCCUGUCCCCAAUGCCCCCUCCCCGGGGCUCGUCUUCCCACAACCUUGGGAGUCGGCUCCCCCACUGCAGAUCCUGCUCUCCCAGGCCUGGUUUCUUCUCGGGGCUCUGGGCUCUGACCUGUUCCCUGGGGAGGCUGUGGAAGCAGGGACGUCUGGGGCCCUUUGUGGCCACUGACUGAGCGGCCCUGCCUGCCUCAGAAAAACCUGGGUCCCUGCUGGGGUCUGUGGCUGACCCCCCAGGAGGGCUCGGGAAGCCCCUGCUGGGAUCAUUGGUCUCACGCUGCACAGCCCUAGGUGGGCCCAUGCCGGGGCAUGGGGUAAAGGGGUGGGCACCCCUGCGGGGCAGGAAGACCGAUUGAAGGUAAGUCUGCAGUCCUCAAACCCAAGGGAAGCCAGGAGGCAGGGGUGGCGGGGUGCCUGUUACUCAGGGCAGGAGUUUCGUCCAUGGGACUUAUUCCCCACAUAGGAUGGAGGCACAGACGCCGGCCCUGAUGACUGUCUAGCUGAAGCCACCUCCGUCCCUCUUGCCGAUGCACCCUGCGCUUCCCGGGGGAGGUAACAGUCAGGCCCAUUUAUCCCGAGUCUGCCUCACACCGUCCCCAUGGCUGGCCCGGCCCUCAUGGUGACCGUGUGCAUGGCACUGCCACCCUGACUUGAUGGACGCUGUUCGAGAGAAUAGCCUUCCCAGCAGUUUGACUGCAUCCUCGCCUGAGGCCUGAACGGUGAAUCCUGCCACCUCCACGGUGCUGGCCGCCUUGCCUAGUGGGAUCCCGGAGUGUCAUCACUUUUGCUUCUUCGACGCCCACAUCCACUCUUCUUGAUGUGUUGGGGGUGGACGGAUGGCCCAGGGGCUGUGACCCUCUUGUUUUCGGAGGAGUCCGACCCCCGGGGCCUGUGGCUAGAAGCUAGGCAGGGCCCACAGGAGGCUGUUCUGGGAUCACGCCCUUUACGGGUGUGCUCAGCUAUUUGCUGGGUUGUAGUCUCCAUCACGUCUUGCAGGUGUGACACUGACAGGAGGAAAGUGCUGGGAGCUCGCUCAAAACCAGCCAGAACUGGUCCUUGUGACCUUGGGCCAAGGGCUUGCCUCCCAAAGUCUCAAUUUCCUGAUCUGCAAAGUGGGGUUACAGACACACUGGAUUCCCAGCCAGGUUGGGGCUCCGCCUCACCCCUUCCCUGUGUCGUGGCGGCUGGGGCGAGCAGGGGGCGCUGCUCCCAGGCUUCCAGGCUGUGGUCCAGGGUCUGGGCCUCGCCGUGUGGGAUGCGUGCAUGGGGCCAGGCGCACACCCCAGACCCUUCUAAAAGGUGAUGUUCUGACCACCCGUUGGGACAAGGUGGGCCUGCAUGGAAAGCUUCCCAAUGUGGUUUUUAUUCUACACCCUCAAGCCUCGUCAUACAGCCAGGACGAUAGCCCUGGUCUGGGGGAGCUUCCAUGCGAUGGGGGAGCAGGAUGGGCUGCGGGCAAUGUCCAGCUUCUCCUUCCUGGCAGGUUCAGGCUGCACCCCCAACCUUAACCCUAACCCUUAACCCAUCCAGUCUCGAGGGUGCGAUGGUGCUUGGCUGCUUCCAUGGGCUCACUGGUGCCAUGUAGCUGUGCUCGUACUGUGUGCUGAAACCUGGGUCACGUGACUAAGGCAGGGGGGACGGCUCUGCCAGGUCAGGGCUGUGAAUGGAAAUUCAGACCCUUCCGUUGGGGUUGGAAACCCAGAACUUGCUUCCCUAUCAACUUAUCUGUGAGCAGAAGUGGCUUUGCAGAGAUUUCUGUAAGAAAUAGCACAAACUGACCCCAAAUGGUGCCUGGAAACCCCAGCCAUUGCCAUCUGCUGAACACAGAAACUGGCCCCUGAGCACAGGAGGGGACCCUGUGGCCUGCACUCUGCGGGCCUGGUGGCUGUGGCUGACCUUUCUCGGCUGUCCAAGGCCGGCGGCAGGACACCAGCUGCCCUGGGCUGCGCGCCCUCCCCCGUCCUCUGAGUUCAUGCAGAUCUGUGAUUCCUGAAACCACAAAGGCCUCUUCCCCUUUGAGGAGGCGCCACACAAUCCUGGAGCAAUCAUGGAAAGGUGUGAUUCCCACCCAGCGCCAUUGCGUUGACUGUUUGACUGAUGUCCUGUGGAGGACAGAGGUGCAGGCAUGGCCACUUCAAAGCCCCAGAGGGGACCCAGAGCCCGGAGGGCAGCACUCGACACCUCCUCCGUUUGCGCCAGCCCUGGUGCUCCUGAAGGUGGGAAGGCCAAGUGUGAAGCAACUCACAGCCGCACAUUCCUCUGCUGCCUGAACCCAGCAGGCCGAGUGACGCUAAGGAAAAACGGAAGACAUCUCCUGUGGGCAGUGGGUGUCCACAGCAUGCAGCCCUCGACUUUCAACUGCCUUGUUCACACUAAGGGGUCCGGGCAGCUCUUUCCCUGCUCCUGUGUUCAGCGAGAGCAGGACGCCGCCAUCCGGCGAAAGCUGUGGGCUCUGACUCACCAGGCUGUGGACGGGGUGGGCGUGGUUGGCCAGCUGGUCCUGGAGUCUCCUCAGCUCAGAACUUUUUGAUUUGUGACAUGGAUGUGGUGCCACUCAGGAGCUCCCAGAACCAGAGACCCAGCCUCUAAACAGGGUCUGCAGGAGAACAGGGGCCUGGCGUGUCCACCGCCUGCGUCGCCCAGAACAGGCUCCUGAGGGAGGGGCCAAGGCUUCAGAGUAUGGGGUUUGUGCACAGGGAUUACAGAGUGGCCAUCGAUUCUGAGACUAGAACCCCAAAAACGGGAAGGAAGGGCGCCCCUGAGAUACCCGGCUGUAAUGUCUGCACCCCACUGCUCACAGGGGGCCCAGCAUCAGUGGGGAACCAGACCUCCUGAACCAGGGUCCCCAGGUAACUCGCACACAAAUGCAGGUUUGAGCAGCCUUGGUCCACCGAGGAACUAGUGCCUUCCUGUCCUCUAGGGUUCCACUGGGCCAAGCUGCACCACGUGCCUUCAACCAGCUCUUGGAGUGAAGCCGAAUAUCAUCAGCAAUGCAGUCCAGGGUUCUUGAGGCCUGGUCCCUGGACCCGCAGCACCAGCAGCUUCUUGGAACUUGUUAGAAAUGCAAGUUCUCAGGCCCCACCUGGUCCUGAGCUCUGGGUGGGGCCCAGCACCUGUGCUUCUGUGCACAGAGCCUGAGGCCCACUCAGCUUCGGUGCAGAGAGCCUAAGCCCACCUGGGGUUCUGUGCACAGAGCCCGAGGCCCACCCAGCUUCGGUGUACAGAGCCUGAGGCCUGCCCAUGCUUCUGUGCACAGAGCCUGGGAUCCACCCAUGCUUGUGUGCACAGUUCUGGGAUCCACCCAUGCUUCUGUGCACAGAGCCAGAGGCCCACCCGUGUUUCUGUGCAAAGUCCUGGGAUCCACCUGUGCUUCUGUGUACAGAGCCUGAGGCCCACCAGUGGUUCCGUGCAGAGACUGGGAUCCACCCAUGCUGCUGUGCACAGAGCCUGGGAUCCCCUCGUGCUUCUGUGCACAGAGCCUGCGAUCCACCCGUGCUGCUGUGCACAGAGCCUGGGAUCCACCCGUGCUUCUGUGUGCAGCGUCUGAGACUCAUUGACACGCUCUUGAGUGUUUCGGUUUAACCCCACUAACAGUGCUCCAGGAAGUGUCACUGCAGGGCUGCCGUUAGCCAUCAGGGAGGCACCUGACCCAGGUCUGUGUCACAUAUCACAGCUGCUGUCCAAGCAAAAGGCAGGGACCCACCUGGUUAGAGGAAGUGGUGGCUCAGGCAGACUCCUGUUGGCGGUCCCCUCCUUCAGGUCCCAGCUCUCUGCUUCAGGACCGCUGGGGGCGGACAAGCCUCAGUCAGAGCCAAGCCCUGACUCUUCCCUGGAGGUUUAGGCAAAUCUCUGCUUUCCAGAACCUCGUUUGGCUCCUCAUUUAUAAAAAAGGUGGAAAAGGGAUCCCUGGUUCCCAAAAGGCCACAGAUGGGCAGCAGUGCCAUCGCCCCAGGAGGGCCAUCAGAGCUGGUGGGUGGCACCCCCGGCCAGAGGUGAAGAGGGGGUGCCUCACCUGCCCUCUUCUGUCCUCUGCUCAGGACAAGCAGAGCUGGGCGAUGAAAGGCCCGCACGAAGGGCACCAGCCACAUGCUGAGGCCCAUGCCCCUCUCUGCCUCCUCCCCAGACCCACAGUCAUCUCUCUCCCUCUCAGAAGAGGGCAGGGGCAUUGCCUCCCCUGGAGCCACAGGGUCUCCCUCAGUAGGGGGUCACAGUGGGCCCCAGCACUUCAGCUCUACCUGAGGGGCGGUGGGCACGGCAGUGGCGGUGGAGCAGGGACCCACCGCCUGCCUGGGAAAGCCCCAAAUGGACUUGUGAUCAACUUCUGCUGGGUCAGGCAAGACUGCGUCUCCUGGGAGAGAGAGAAGAGAAAAACUGGCAGUCCUUGCAUCAGCAGCAGCUGUUGAGAGAUAUAAUUAAUACACACACACACACACACAGGGGCUACGAGACCAUUGCAAUUGUGGUGUUAACAGUUUCCAAAAUAGUGCUCGAUCCACGCAGUUCAGUAAUUACACAUUCUCACCAUGAUGAGGGAGACGGCCGCCGUUCCUGAGUCUCAGGGGACCUGGAACAUUCAGAGGUGUGCAGAAAAGACCCCACUGAGGACCCUGAGGGGCCGUCCUGCUCAGCGCCCUGGCACUGUCUGGAUCCUGCGGCAGUGCGUGCAGACAGUUGUAACAGCUCUGAAUAAGUUACCAGGAAAUGCAGUUAGGGUGUCUCGGUGCCUUUUUAAUUUGUAAAUAGGGAAAAGGGACUUAAGCCUGUGCUUCUGAAUUGCAGUAUUUUCUCUGGGAAUUAAUCCGCAGGGACAAGCACCUCUCCCCUGGAUGUAUGACGAGGCGCAAACACAGAAGGGAUGCUCACGUCCUGCUUCCGAGACUUGAAAAGCACCGCCCGAGGUCACGCUGCCCGGGUCAGCCGUCAGCGCCCCGAUUCCCACCAACUCCGUGUUCGCCGGCUGCUCUGGGGCAGUGGGUCAGUGGUCUGGCUGGAACUGUCUGCAUGCAACCAAACAGAAAAAGCUAAUUACGGCGGAGUCCAACUUUAAGUGUAGCUGUGCAUUCAACCAGUGCGACCCGGCCCGUGUGGUCCUGCCUCCAUUCGGGGCUGUCGUUGGAGAGGUGACAACAUGGGACAGGAGGACAGGUGUCCAGAGGGAGCGACUGAGGGAGUGCAGCUCUACUUUCCCUCUGCAGAGAGGCCAUGUGGGCGUCCCAGGUGGUCUUAGCCUAGAUUCUGGCUUUCAUUAAAAACAAAUGCAGACCCUGCCUGGACACACAAGUGCCGCCCUGGCCACUUCCUUUGUGCCUGAGUGGUGGGCUCUGUCUCCCCUUGCGCACUCCUGUAACACUACGUCAGGGUGCUCUCCCUGGUUGUGGAGGAGGCUGACAGGGGCCCCACAAGGCCACUUUGUGUCCAAGAGUGCCCUGGGGGCAGGCAGGGCCUGGAUUUAAACUCUGCCUACAUCUUCCUUCUCAGCCAAAGUCCCAGCAGGACACUUGGGGCUGGUGGCCCUGCUCCCCGUCCUCAGCAGUGUCCCCACAUGGGGACACUGUGUCCUCCCACAUGUCCAUCUCAGUGGGAGCACCUGGCAGGCUCAGAGCCCUAGACAAUAGAUGCCAUGAGCUCAACAGGCCCGAAUGACGGCCCACCACACACGAGGACCCGUGGGGCUGGGCCACCCCGGGGCCUCACAACCAGACAGCCCACGUGGGUUUCGGGAUCUCAGCGUGAUGGAGGGUGUGAGGCCUUCGGCACAGCUGAGCAGAGAUGACUCAGCAGUGUGGGGGAUGGAGAAAGUCAAGGACAAAGUGCGGAUGAGACGACCCCCCCUCGCUGGCAUCUGAAGGCUCAGGGCUCAGAGGAAGCAGAACACCAGGGAAAGAGCCUUGUUGAAAAAAUGUAGCUGGGAUGGUCAUCUGAGGCUCCUGAACGGUUAGGAAGCAGGCAGAGCUGUGCUUCAUCCUCUCUCCUCCACCCUGGGCCUCGGGACACGUUUCAUGGAGGGGAGACAUGCUGACAGACUGGGCGAUGGGCUGUCACUGCCAUUGGCUGAAUACACUGCGGGUCUGGUCAGUGCCCUCCCGGUCCCUGAGGCCCCAGCUCAGCCAUGACCAACUCAUUCAUUCAACACCCCUUCCGCCUGUUUCUGCGUCACGGGGAAGGGUUCCGUCAGGCUCUGAAAGGGAACCUCGAAGACAAAGAAAGAGCUGGAGGCCGCCGCUUGGUUCAAGAGCCUUGGCCCUGUUGUCUGCGUCAGCCCACGUCUUGUGGGGAAACCACUCCAGCCUCUCAAAUGCACGGCACCACAAGCAAAGGCACGAUCGGUACUAAUGGCACUUUCGUGGUUUGGAAGAGUAACUCACUUCCUGAUGUGGAAGCACAGAAGGUUCUGGAGGAACCGCUCAGGACAGGCCGCCUGUUCAGAAGGCCCCAUGGCUUGUGGUCAUUUUCAAGGAACACCCAGCUGGUGGGCCCCGUAGGGCUUCUUGGCCUGUGGACAGUGAAGCUGCGUGGGCUCCACACCACUUCCGAUGGCGGGACAGGCCCACUCCCUCCCCUCACUGGCUGCUGGUGCCAGGCUCCUAGGGAGGCCCCAAAAGGUCCUCGGUGCCCUCCUCCUCCUCCCGCAGCCAUGCCAAGGCCAGCAGAGAACUGGGCACAGCUGCUUCCAGGACACUGUGCUGUCUUGUUGGUGGUUCCCACCCAGCCAUCUGGGCCCCCUGGCCCCGCGGGGCUGCUCUGCGCCCUGGUGAUGUCUCAAAGCCAACAACGGGGGAUAUAGCAGGGUGGCAGGGGCCUUAUAGCCAAGGGACAAGUGUCACUCCGGGAUGUCCUGUGACCAGCAGGGACGUGGUCCCCACGACUCAGGGGCACAAAGCCAUCGAGGAUUCUGGGUGUCACAUGUGCCCCAAACUUGGUUAGUCUUUCCAUUUCCCCUGGCCAGCCGAGCCCAGCUCUUUACACCUGGGUCCUAACGGGAAACAACAGUGUCCCAGGGGUCAGAAGCUUAGGGUGAGGAGGUUGAUGCAGCUGCGCUGAGCUCCAAGCUCUGUGAGGGGGUGUGUGCUGUGUUCUGCUCAGUGGGGCUGGCGGGUGCCUGGCACUUAGGGAGCAACAGCAUCUGCAGACAAGGAAUGAAUGAUGAAGGAUGAACGGGGAGGAAGGGGUGCAGAUCCUGGCCAACGGCUGUGUGCACGGCAGCACGUGUCUGCUGUGCGGUCGUAGCAAAGUUCUAGAACUCAUCCACUGCUGAUGGCACGUCCACUGCCAACGUUUAUGGCAAUGCCACUAAGAAUAGCCACACACGUGUCACUCACGUCUGUGUGACUGUAGCACAAUUCAUAGAAAUAGAAUUGCUAGGCCAAAUGUUACGAGCAUUUGUAAUGCUGAUGGACAUGCUGACUUUUCUUCCCCUAGAAGGGAUGGAUUUUACGUUGCCACCAAAGCACGAGAGAACUCCCUUCCCUCCGCCGGCUCGGCCUGACCCCAGGGGACGCAGCUCAGGGAGUUGAGGGUGAGGCUGAGAAGUCCUCACCUGCUCACGAGCAGCUCUUUCCUCCUCGGCGAGCUGCCUGCUCACACCCUCGGCCCCUCUUCCUUACUGACUCUUAGUCUCUUUCUAAUUGAUUGAAAUAUCAGGAAACUACUCUUCACUUCUGACAUAAGGUGCAAACACCUUUUCCAGUGUAUUUUUUUUCUUCUUCUCCCCAUAGCCCCCCAGUACAUAGUUGUAUAUUCUAGCUGUGAGUGCCUCUGGUUGUGGCAUGUGGGAUGCCGCCUCAGCAUGGCUUCAUGAGCGGUGCCACAUCCACGCCCAGGAUCCAAACUGGCGAAACCCUGGGCCACCAAAGCAGAUCGCGCGAACUCGAACACUUGGCGGUGAGGCUGGCCCCUGUCAUUAUUUCGAUUGGCUUAGGGUGGUGUUCUUGGUCCAUGCAGAAGUUUUUUAUUCUUAUGUAAUCACAUUUAUUAACAAUAUUAUGGCUUCUGGGUUUUGUGUCAUAUUUAGGCCUGCCUUCCAAACUUCAACAUAUAAAAAUCCCCCAUGGCUUCUGUUUGACACUUCUGCGGCUUUUCUUUUCAUUUGCAUUUAACUCUUUGAUCUGCCUAGACCUGAUUGUGGUGGAGUACACAACCAGCUUUAGGGUUUUCCUGGACGUCUACCCACUGAUCGUUACAGGAAAAUCGUGCAUCCCCAAUGAUUUAAAUGCCUCCAUCCUAUAAUUUGCAUGUAUAUUGGGUCUAUUUCUGGACUUCCUACCUACUCAUUUGCCAGUCGCAUAUAGUUUAAAAUAUAAUUUCAUAAUAUGUUUUACUAUCUGAUAGGACUAAGUUCUCCAUUAUUUGGUUUUUCUUUUAGGUUUGUUCCACCUGUUCUUGUUAAUUUUUCAUACAGAUUUAGCCUGUCUGGUUAAAAAAAGAAGAGUUAACAUUUUAAUUGAGAUUGUACUGUACGUACAGAUGAACUUAGUGAAAACCGGCAUCUUGACAAGUCUUCCCUUCCAGCACAGCCCGCUGGUCCCCUCGUCCCAGCCAGCGCAGCCCCGGAGGCCGUGAAGUCUUCCUGCUGUAGAGUUUCCACAUUUCCUCUAACCACAUUCUCAGAUGUUUUACCUUUUUUUGAUGUUGUCUUUUCUUUGAUCAUAUUUCCUAGUGGUUCUCGUUUCUAGAUAGAAAGGCUGCCAAUUUCCAUAUCCUAAUUUUAUACUUUGCCAAAUCCUUAGAUUUUUGUUCACUUUUUUCAGUUGCUUCUCUAGAGUUUUCCAGAUAUGCAAUAAAAUAUCCAUAAGUGAUUAUCACUUUAUCUCACGCUUUCCCAUUUUGGUACUUCCAGCUUCUCUCUCUUGAUAAAGGCACAGGCCAGUGCCUCCCACACAUGUGAGGACCACAUGGGGUGGGAAUGUCUGGCGUCUUCACAACUUUGGGGGGAAUGUUUCCAGUGUUUCCCCAAGAUGUGGUCUUUCAGGCUGAGACAGAGAUCAUUUAUAACAUUAAAGAAGCAUUCAUCAAUUUCUAUUUUAUCAGGAGAAUUUUAAAAAUAGAAUGGAUGUUGAACUUCAUCCAAUGUUUGUCAGCAUCUACAGAGAUGGCCAUGUUCUUUUUCUCUUUUGUGGUAUUAAAUGGUGAUUUACGUCAAUAGACCUAACAGGGAGCCAUCCCUACUUCAUGGAAAACACUUAGUCUGGGGAUGUAACUCUCUAACACUGCUGGAUUCUGUCUGCUAAUAAUCUAUUUAGGAUUCUCACAUUGCUCUUCACACAUCACAUGAGUUCAUAGCUUGCUUUCUGCACAUCUCCU
ensembl:lncRNA